rnacentral:rRNA from 1 species
UACGUAGGGUGCGAGCGUUGUCCGGAAUUAUUGGGCGUAAAGAGCUUGUAGGUGGUUUGUCGCGUCUGCUGUGAAAAUCCGAGGCUCAACCUCGGACUUGCAGUGGGUACGGGCAGACUAGAGUGUGGUAGGGGAGACUGGAAUUCCUGGUGUAGCGGUGGAAUGCGCAGAUAUCAGGAGGAACGCCGAUGGCGAAGGCAGGUCUCUGGGCCGACUACUGACGCUGGAGAAGCGGAAAGCAUGGGGAGCGAAACAGGA